rnacentral:rRNA from 1 species
ACACGAAUCCAGACCCUACGGGGUGCAGCAGGCGCGAAAACUUGGCAAUGCGAGCAAUCGUGACCAGGGAACUCCAAGUGGCUGGGGUAAUACCCAGUUUUUUCUUGACUCUUCAAAGGUCUUGGAAUAAGGGGUGGGUAAGGACGGUGCCAGCCGCCGCGGUAAUACCGGCGCCUCAAGUGGUAGUCGCUUUUAUUGGGCCUAAAACGUCCGUAGCCGGUCUGGUGCAUUCGUGGGUAAAUCAACCCGCUCAACGGGUUGAAUUCUGCGAGCACGGCCAGACUUGGGACCGGGAGAGGUGUGGGGUACUCUCAGGGUAGGGGUAAAAUCCUGUCAUCCUGAGAGGACCACCUGUUGCGAAGGCGCCACACUAGAACGGAUUCGACGGUCAGGGACGAAACCUAGGGGCACGAACCGGAUUAGAUACCCGGGUAGUCCUAGGUGUAAACGCUGUGGACUUGAUGUUGGGGGUGCUCCGAGCACUCUCAGUGUCGAAGCGAAGGUGAUAAGUCCACUGCCUGGGGAGUACGGUCGCAAGGCUGAAACUUAAAGGAAUUGGCGGGGAGCACUGCAACCUGAGGAUUGUGCGGUUUAAUUGGACUCAACGCCGGGA